UGCUUCUUAAACCGGAGACCUGCGUCCAU
rnacentral:piRNA from 1 species